rnacentral:rRNA from 1 species
GACAGAGGUGCCAAGCGUUAGGCGGAAUCACUGGGCUUAAAGCGUGUGUAGGCGGAUCGUUAAGUACCUUGUGAAAUCCCACGGCUCAACCGUGGAACUGCUAGGUAUACUGGCGGUCUUGAGCCACCUAGGGGCAACUGGAACAAGCGGUGGAGCGGUGAAAUGCGUAGAUAUCGCUUGGAACGCCGAAGGUGAAAACAGGCUGCUGGGGUUGUGCCGACGCUGAGACACGAAAGCCAGGGGAGCAAACGGG